rnacentral:piRNA from 1 species
UAUCUUUAUUUAUACAGCUGUUUGACGC